rnacentral:lncRNA from 1 species
UAGGACUCUUCAUCAGCCAACAGAUCAGAUAGGAAUCUCUAAUGUGUGUGACCCCACAAGUUCGAACCUAAGCCGAUAGCACAGGAAUCAAUUUCUGUACUAAUCGAAGUGACCAUCUAGCAAUGAUACCUGACAUCUGGAUAGGUCGAAGAGUUGCAAUCACAACACUCAGAACCUACAUGAAUAUGGUUACUAUAUAAUUCAUCCUUUUGACCCCUGUGUUUAGGAUGACUCAGGGUUAAACUGUCAACCCUGAUCAGAUCAUCCGAAUCGUGCUCAACUCAAGUAGUCCUGUGACUCCUCACAAGGACUACUCUGGCCA